rnacentral:ncRNA from 1 species
GCGAUCCGGGUCUGUGGUUGCAAAUCCAGGCCAGGCACGGGCGAAGGGAUCCACGUAAGCGGUUGAAGAAGAGUAGACCGUGAGCAUGGCGUGCUUUAGAAGUAAGUCCUCCGGAAAUCGGGUAAAGGCAAGUGUGGGGGCAAAGACCAGGUCAGCCGGAUAUGC